UACGGGGGGAGCAAGCGUUGUUCGGAUUUACUGGGCGUAAAGGGCGCGUAGGCGGCCACCGCAAGUCUACUGUGAAAUCUCCGGGCUUAACCCGGAAAGGUCAGCCGAUACUGCGGGGCUAGAGUGCAGAAGGGGCAACUGGAAUUCUCGGUGUAGCGGUGAAAUGCGUAGAUAUCGAGAGGAACACCUGCGGCGAAGGCGGGUUGCUGGGCUGACACUGACGCUGAGGCGCGAAAGCUAGGGGAGCGAACGGG
rnacentral:rRNA from 1 species